UGCGGAGGGGGGCUCCCGGGAGCCGGGUCCCUGGGAGUGGGAGUAAGGAGGUGGAACGGACACCUCCGGAACUUUGCCCCUGGGAGUUGGGGAAAUCCCGCCUCCCCAUCCAUCCCAUCCUCUAAACCCGCCACGGGGUUGGGCCUUGACUCUUUCCUGGAGAUUGAAGGCGGAGGCAGAAGGAGCUGUCGAGAAACCAGUUGGCUCUGCAGAGGCACGUUUAGGGAGAGUUAGCAAAGAUUCUUGAACUGCGGGAAGUCUAUUCAGGGAAACAUCCCACUUAGCAUCCCACUUAGCCUGGUCAGCCCAUGUCCAUGCUGUUUACUUUUUUUUCUGAAGUCCUUUGCACCCCCAUUUUCUCUUUAGGGUUCCUGCAGUCUGUCCAUAGCCCAACUACGGACGGGCUCUGUGCUGUGCCCUGGGGAAGUCUGCAGGGAGGAAGAUGGGGGCUGCCACCCCUAGUCUGGUAGAAAGAAAGAAAACACAUCUCGGCAUUUAACAACUUAAAUGUGUACUUAAAACCUCACAAACAGCCUUGUCAGAGCCCAUGCUGCUUUGGAGUGGGAAGGAAAGGAGAGGGAGCAGGGAAGUUAAGCAACUUGCCUGCUCUCGCUGAGGCUAGUUGGUGCUGGAGCAAGGACAGAACGCCACUGCUUUCCCCCCUGAAGCUGGUGGCUGCUGUAUGCCUGGCACUGUGUGUGCCUGACGGUGCUGUAGGAACACUGUUUCCUCUGCCAAUUUUGUUUUUAAAAUAACAUUCCUUGUCCUUAAGGCCUAGUUCAAAUGCCACUUCUUUCAUGAUGCCUUCCCUAUGACACCGCCUCUCGUGACACUUAGAGACGGCUAAUAGUUGCAAGAAGAGGCAUUAUAUAUAUUUAUAUAUAAUUAUAUAGUUCAAUAUAACAAACCUGUGUGGAGGAUCCACUCUGUGCCAGACAGACGUCUACAAACUAGCCUCCCCUCCUUGAGGACAAGAAGCAACCAUUGCUUCUACUUCUCUUUGUAUCUCACCGUAUAAAGUGCUUUCAAAAAUC